UCCAGGGCACAUGGGAGGGGAGGUUUCGGGGGUGGUGUGUGGCGUCAACACUGGGACUCUUUUUUCUUGUUAAGUGUUUUAUGGAGAUACCGGACGAGCAACGAGGAGACGGACGGCGUGGAUCUGUGGUGGACGCAUGGGAGAAAAAAACAAACAACGGUUAUUUUUUUCUGUGUAUGUGGAUCAGUUGAGGAAGAGUCUGACACCGGGGCAUUUAGACGGCGUGGAUAAGGAUACACAGGGUUGUUUUGGGAUCUUGUGGUGUCUAAAUUACUUUUCUCCCUCAGGAAUGACAUUCCCCAGGACCACAGGAGGUGUUAGUGACAGAUAAGAGGCGCCUGGUGACAGUAAACAGAGACGCUGCUGAGAUAGGAUUCACUGACGUACACCACGUCUCACAUCCCACUGAAUUUAUCAGGAAAUGGAAACGAGCGAAACGACGACGACCCAAUGACAGAUACGGACACCAGGACAAAAACGGCAUUCUCUCUCUCUCUCUCUCUCUCUCUCUCUCUCAUGUCUUGUUAUUCUCGUCUUUCUCCGUCUGUUCGACACUCAGGUUUGCUGAUCCCAGAGAAGGAGGGAAGUGUGUGCCAGAGCGCCAACACUCAUAAAUCUGAAUCCACCAGCAGGCCCCUGGCAGGAAGGAGCUCAGACCUCAGCACACUACACCUUCUUCACUCGUCUGAUGGGAAGCGAGGGAGAGACGGAGAUCAGGACGGACGGACGGAGCAGGACGGAGAUAGAACUGGAAGGGUUUCACACGCCAGUGGGUUCUUAUGCUCUUCACGGGGUCGACGCAGGAGCCUGUGCAGAUCCACGGUGGAUGUGAGCCGCCUCCGGCGUAACCUAUUAGCACUUAGCACACAAAUAUCUCACUGUGAUUAGUGAUUUCACACACAAACACCAAGAUAAACAAAGCCUACAGACUUUCUCAGGCAUCUCUGUCAUUCAUUCAAGGCUUCUCCAUAUUAGAGCUCCUGGCCUGGAUUGACCCUCGUUUACUGCUUAGAAGGUUCAAAGGUCACGAGGAACCUUGAGUCCUGAUGACGGAGUGUGCAGGUGAUCGGUCAGUGUGUUUGAUUAGCUUCAUUAGGAACAGUACAGUAACUGAUGAGUUGUAGCAAUCUGUCUCAGUACUCUGUGUCCAAGCGAACAGAGCAGCAGUGUCCUGGCUCCAUGUCCAUCUUAUUGAGUUUGUGAUGAAUUAACGAGAUCAUCAGAGACACACGAGCGGCCAGACGCAGGAGCUUCCUAAUUAAUUAAUAGAAAUGUUCACGAUCUCCCUCGAGUUGCUCUCAGUCUCUCUCAGAGAAAAACAAUCAUCAGGUCUGUUAAUAAGAAGCUGCAGGUCCAGCACUAGGCUUUAACACUGAUGAAAAGCAUAAAAAUGAUGAUUACUGCAUAACAUUGUGUUGUAGUUUCGUGCUCUGUUAUUUUAUUAGACCUGAUGAACACUUUGUACUCAAGUGGAACAUAAAGCAGUAGCUCUUCUUCUUCUUCAUCAUCAUCAUCAUCAUCUUCUUCUUCUUCAUCUUUGUGUGUUUGUUGUGUUUGAUUUCACUGUCUGCUCAUCUCAGUCUGCAGAUUCUCAGACAUUGUGCAAUUUCAAAGCAUUUCUGCAUUACAGAUUUAUAUAAAAAUGGACAGAUAAGACGUUUAGGUCGGACUUUAGUGUUGGAGGACGGUGAGGAGU